AGAUUAAGCAGACAGUUGAAGAACACACCAACACAUGAUUCCAUGAAUUACAUACCACAACAAAUCGCCCACUAGAUAAAAAAUGGUAGGUUUGAAAAGUAUGUAAUCUUGAUCGUUACUUUUGUAAACCCAUAGAGAAAAUGAACUUAUUACCAGAGAGAGAAAGAGAGAGCAUGUGAUUCCUAGACAUUACAAAUAAACAAUGCAUGAUUGUGGUUAGAUUAGUCUUUGGACACAUCAUACAUCUGUGACAUUUAAGGUUGUACCUUGUAAAUGUUCAACAGCAUCAUAUUCCAUGGAUGCAUCAAAAUUAGUAAAAAAUAUUGGAAAAAAGAGUCCUAUUUUUAUCUACUGUUUCUUUGCUGCAGGCACCUCCUGAAAUCUUCCAGAUGAGCCUCUUUUAGUAACAGACUUGAACAGAUACUCUGGCACAAGAUGUUAAAUGGU